GCCAGCGCUCUGGGGUCGAGUCCUGGAGUUUGUAGGUGGCUCCCGGCUGCCCGAGCGGGUGUGGGGAGGAGCCCAGGGUGGGGCGGGCUGCCGGCAGCAGGACCGCUGCUCAUCGUGCUUUGGGCGUCUUUCUGGGUUCCCACGGUUUUCACCGCCCGUGACCUACCGAGCCCACCCCAACCGCCCCCAUCCUCCGCUAACUCUUUGGGUGAGUGGGGUGGACUUGGAGGAACCGGGCCAUAAAGCAGCCCUGGUAAAAAGCCCACCCGAUUUUUAGAAACAGAUUUUUUAUUUUUUGAGACAGGGUUUUGCUCUGUUGUCCAGGCUGGAGUGCAGUGGUGCGAUUUCGGCUCACUGCAACCUCCGUCUUCUGGGCUCAAGCCAGUUUCCUGCUUCAGCCUCCCGAGUAGCUGGAACUACAGGUGCAGCCACCACACCUGGCUAAUUUUUGUGUUUUUGGUAAAGAUGGUCUGUGUUGGCCAGGCUGUUCUCAAACUCCUAAGCUCCAGUGAUCUGCUGGCCUCGGUCUCCCAAAAUGUUGGGAUUACUGGCGUGAGCCACUGCACCGGCCCAGAAACAGAAUUUUGACGGUGGAACUUAAAACACUUCCCCGCACUUCCUAAAAUUAGAUUCAUUUGGCAACUGGAGAAAGACAAACGUAAAAGACACUCUGUUUCAGAAAAGGAAGUUGUAGAGCCCUUUAAAAAAAAUGUCUGAAAGUUCAAUUUAGAUAGUAUGUCAACAUGUUAGAAAUGAAAGGUACAGUGCAGAGUGCCGCCCCUCUUCGCUGCCUGGUACAGAAAAAAUAUUCAGUAUUUGUUGGAUGGAUGAAAUUGUACGUAAAGGAAGAGGGGAAAAGUGAGCUUAACUCUGGCCUUCAAGCCACACCCUGAUGUUGAAAGUCUCAUGGGCACAAGUCUCUCCAUUGUCAACAGCUAUACUUUGGUGGAGUACCUUGCUUGGAGAAGAGAGAGCUGGAGAGUCAUGUGACAUGAGGGGCUCUACGAUAAGAAUGGAGAUACAUUCAUGAGGAAAAAAGGAUCUACAGGAACAGAGCCAUGUGUCUGGGGAUGUCCCUCACCUAUCCACUCAUCUAUCCCAGGGUCCAUGCCAGCAGCCAUCUAGUCUACCACAGACGGGGUCGGCUCUGCACAUCAUUUUAGAAAGACCAUCUAUUUAGGGAACUCCAAAGCCACAUCCUGAAUUUUGGUAAUUGUGUAAAAGCCAGUUUCCUCCUCAUCGCCUAUACUAAAAAGCACUUUUCACAAGGGGAGUGGUUUUCUUCUGUUCACUGGGGUAUGGGGAAAUGCUGGGUACCAAAAGGUAGAGUACCUAGAGAGGGGCUGGUGAGAAAAGGGGGAAGACAGUUUCAGGGCUUCUAAGGCAGAGGUAUGG